CGGCGAGCUGACUAUACAUGCAAGUCGAACGCUUCUUUCCUCCCGAGUGCUUGCACUCAAUUGGAAAGAGGAGUGGCGGACGGGUGAGUAACACGUGGGUAACCUACCCAUCAGAGGGGGAUAACACUUGGAAACAGGUGCUAAUACCGCAUAACAGUUUAUGCCGCAUGGCAUAAGAGUGAAAGGCGCUUUCGGGUGUCGCUGAUGGAUGGACCCGCGGUGCAUUAGCUAGUUGGUGAGGUAACGGCUCACCAAGGCCACGAUGCAUAGCCGACCUGAGAGGGUGAUCGGCCACACUGGGACUGAGACACGGCCCAGACUCCUACGGGAGGCAGCAGUAGGGAAUCUUCGGCAAUGGACGAAAGUCUGACCGAGCAACGCCGCGUGAGUGAAGAAGGUUUUCGGAUCGUAAAACUCUGUUGUUAGAGAAGAACAAGGACGUUAGUAACUGAACGUCCCCUGACGGUAUCUAACCAGAAAGCCACGGCUAACUACGUGCCAGCAGCCGCGGUAAUACGUAGGUGGCAAGCGUUGUCCGGAUUUAUUGGGCGUAAAGCGAGCGCAGGCGGUUUCUUAAGUCUGAUGUGAAAGCCCCCGGCUCAACCGGGGAGGGUCAUUGGAAACUGGGAGACUUGAGUGCAGAAGAGGAGAGUGGAAUUCCAUGUGUAGCGGUGAAAUGCGUAGAUAUAUGGAGGAACACCAGUGGCGAAGGCGGCUCUCUGGUCUGUAACUGACGCUGAGGCUCGAAAGCGUGGGGAGCAAACAGGAUUAGAUACCCUGGUAGUCCACGCCGUAAACGAUGAGUGCUAAGUGUUGGAGGGUUUCCGCCCUUCAGUGCUGCAGCAAACGCAUUAAGCACUCCGCCCUGGGGGAGUACGACCGCAAGGUUGAAACUCAAGAAGAAAUAGUAAACGGGGA
rnacentral:rRNA from 1 species